GGAAGAGGCAAGAGUGGUCGAUAAUUUGUCCCGCGUCGUGGUGUGAUUUGUGAGUAGCUAGUUCCAACCAAAAGGCUAGUGAGUAGUUUUGCGGCAAAGUUGUGUUUCGGCGAAAGAUUAGAUCGAUUCGAGGCAGCGUGGCCAUUGCCGUCACACCAUACCAGCUCGAGACCGCUCUUGACCCCACCUUGCGACUUCGAAGGAUUCCCGGGGCACGCGUGGCCGGAAGAGGGUUGCCCCCGUUAGAUCAGCACCCUAGAGAGGCAGGCCGACACCAUUGGAUCCACGCCACCGAACAACAGCAACCGCCAUCUCUAUUAUUCGAGAGGAAGACCAAACGCACGUGCCGCGUUUGCGCGUAAGUCCGCGAAUCUUGUGGAGUGCGACUAAAUACCACCAUCGAAUCACCCCGGUGGUUGUUUCUCGGCCGAAGUAGUGCGUAAGCAGCUUCGGUACCGCCGCGAGUCCACCCACAAACACCCCCCCCCCUAAAACCGCACGUAAAUCCUAGGUGGUGACGAGUAAGUACCAAGAAAGCAUGCUUUGUAAUUGUUGUGUCGUCCAUGCGCA